ACAGUGAUGUCACAGCUUACUGCCACGGUUACCACGGAGACCAGUGAUGUCAGAGCAGGACACGGUUCAGGAAGUGAUGUUUGGUUCAUUAAUUAAUGCUGAUGUGACACUGGGCCACCCAGAACCCAACUGGACCUCCCGACGCUGACUGCCAUGGUAACCAGCCGCUGACCCCGUCCAGCUGUCAGGUGAACGGUUACCACGGCAACGGCAGACAGACGGAUUACAGCCGGAGACAAUCUGAUGUAAUCUGAUUUGGGUCAGAAUUAUUCGUACAGGAGAACUGGACCUGCAGAACCGGAGCUGUCAGGUUCUGGAAGCAGCCAGGACUCAGAACCGGUUCGGGUCCCGGACGGGUUGAAGCAGCAGGACCCUCCCAUCAUCCUCAUCCUCAUCUUCCUCAGCAGCAGCACGCGCUGCUUUGUUCAGGUGCACCUGAUGAAGAUGAGGAUGCUCUUCAUCACCGGAACCAGCUGACUCAUCAGCCGCAGCACGAACCCGAACCGAACGCAUGAGACCGGGUCCAGACCGACCGGACCGGACCGGACCGGACCGGACCGCAGCUCUUCCUCUGCGGGUCGGGAGUGUCCCGGGGCGCGCGCGAGCCUGAGGUCCUGCAGCAGGACACGGACACGCGCAUCGGGCUGCAGCGGGACCGGAACCGAGCGGCAGCAACUGGAGGUUCUAUGUAGUGACCGAACCGAACCGACCCGGACCGAACCGAACCGAACCGAACCGGACCAGCUGCUCUCACAUCAAAGCACAUCUUUACCUGUCCUCGUGCAGGACGCUCGCCCUCUUUCCGCCGGUCAGCGACGCCGCUCUGCUCUCUACGUCAUCACCUACUACGACGGGCUGUGACGUCAUGACGCACACCGGGGCCCGAGGGGUUCAGGAGACCGGGGGUCCAGGGGCCCCAGGCUGAGUGUUCCUCUCUGCUGUCGCAGUAAAUCUGUUUUCUCUUGCUGGUGAGUUUGAUCAGCGGAACCAGAACCACAGAAUCGGGUCGGUUCGGUUCUCCUCAGGAACAUUCAGGAGGAUCAAAUUUAAAUGUGCUGCUAACAGCCUGUAAAUCAUAUCAUAAAGCAUCUGCUGAUUUUUAUUCCCUGGUUUCACUGAAUCAUUACAGACAGAAACGUUGAACUGGUUGCAUUUCUGUCUCACUUUCCAGUCAAUGUUUCCCAGUUUGAACAUUUUCACUCAUCAUCCAUCACUUCUUACUUUGACUUCACUCAAAAUGGCCGAAACCAUCAGCAGUGAAGCUUCAGAGGCUCGUUUACUUACCAACUGGACCUGGAGCCAUGCUAACAGAUAUGCUAAACGAUAUGCUAACUGCUGUGCUAACAGAUAUGCUAACAUAUAUGCUAAACGAUAUGCUAACUGCUGUGCUAACCGAUAUGCUAACCGUUGUGCUAACCGAUAUGCUAACUGCUGUGCUACCUGAUAUUCUAACCGCUGUGCUAACUGCUGCGCUAACAGAUACAGUCAAAUAAUGCCCCCCUGUCCUGUUUCUCUGGUUGGGUUCAGUCAGACAGAUCUAAGCGCAUAGAUCUAUGAGGAAUGUGACUGUAAAAAUCUGUGUAUUAAAACAAACUGCAUACUUUUA